rnacentral:rRNA from 1 species
UACAGAGGGUGCGAGCGUUAAUCGGAAUUACUGGGCGUAAAGGGCGCGUAGGUGGGUAGAUAAGUCGGAGGUGAAAGCCCUGGGCUCAACCUAGGAAUUGCCUUUGAAACUGUUUAUCUGGAGUGAAGUAGAGGGCAGCGGAAUUCCCGGUGUAGCGGUGAAAUGCGUAGAUAUCGGGAAGAACACCGGUGGCGAAGGCGGCUGUCUGGACUUUAACUGACACUGAGGCGCGAAAGCGUGGGUAGCGAAC